GACGAACGCUGGCGGCGUGCCUAAUACAUGCAAGUCGAACGCAGUGGGGACGGGUGAGUAACCCGUGGGUAACCUCCCAUCAGAGGGGAUAACACUUGGAAACAGGUGCUAAACCGAUACUGCUGGAUGGACCCGCGGUGCAUUAGCUAGUUGGUGAGGUAACGGCUCACCAAGGCCACGAUGCAUAGCUGGGCUGAGAGGGUGAUCAGCCACACUGGGACUGAGACACGGCCCAGACUCCUACGGGAGGCAGCAGUAGGGAAUCUUGGGCAAUGGACGAAAGUCUGAACUAGCCAUGCCGCGUGUGUGAAGAAGGUCUUCGGAUUGUAAAGCACUGUUAUUUGGGAGGCGGUAUCUAAAGAGAAAGCACCGGCUAACUACGUGCCAGCAGCCGCGGUAAUAC
rnacentral:rRNA from 1 species